AGUGAACGCUGGCAGUAGGCCUAACACAUGCAAGUCGAACGGCAGCACAGAGGAGCUUGCUCCUUGGGUGGCGAGUGGCGGACGGGUGAGGAAUACAUCGGAAUCUACUCUGUCGUGGGGGAUAACGUAGGGAAACUUACGCUAAUACCGCAUACGACCUACGGGUGAAAGCAGGGGAUCUUCGGACCUUGCGCGAUUGAAUGAGCCGAUGUCGGAUUAGCUAGUUGGCGGGGUAAAGGCCCACCAAGGCGACGAUCCGUAGCUGGUCUGAGAGGAUGAUCAGCCACACUGGAACUGAGACACGGUCCAGACUCCUACGGGAGGCAGCAGUGGGGAAUAUUGGACAAUGGGCGCAAGCCUGAUCCAGCCAUACCGCGUGGGUGAAGAAGGCCUUCGGGUUGUAAAGCCCUUUUGUUGGGAAAGAAAUCCAGCUGGCUAAUACCCGGUUGGGAUGACGGUACCCAAAGAAUAAGCACCGGCUAACUUCGUGCCAGCAGCCGCGGUAAUACGAAGGGUGCAAGCGUUACUCGGAAUUACUGGGCGUAAAGCGUGCGUAGGUGGUCGUUUAAGUCCGUUGUGAAAGCCCUGGGCUCAACCUGGGAACUGCAGUGGAUACUGG
rnacentral:rRNA from 1 species